UUCAGCUUUAGUCCCGCCUCCUUCCAGGAAGCAGCUCACCUGUGUGUCUGUGUUUAGUGUCCAGGUGUGGAGUGGAGUUCGUUGUUCGUGUCACUGUUUGAAAAAACUGUGGAGUCCUGCCUCCUUCCAGGAAAUACCUCACUUGUGUCUCUGUGUUUAGUGUCCAGGUGUGGAGUGGGAGCUUGUUGUUUGUGUCUCUGUGUGGAGAAACUGUGAAGGUAGAAAGUGUGUGUGAGC